AUUGAACGCUGGCGGCAGGCUUAACACAUGCAAGUCGAGCGAGCGGCGGACGGGUGAGUAAUGUCUGGGAAACUGCCUGAUGGAGGGGGAUAACUACUGGAACCGGUAGCUAAUACCGCAUACCAUCAGAUGUGCCCAGAUGGGAUUAGCUAGUAGGUGGGGUAAUGGCUCACCUAGGCGACGCUCCAUAGCUGGUCUGAGAGGAUGACCGUCAACACUGGAACUGAGACACGGUCCAGACCCCUACGGGAGGCAGCAGUGGGGAAUAUUGCACAAUGGGCGCAAGCCUGAUGCAGCCAUGCCGCGUGUGUGAAGAAGGCCUUCGGUUUGUAAAGUACUUUCAGCGUGGAGGCGUUACCCGCAGAAGAAGCACCGGCUAACUCCGUGCCAGCAGCCGCGGUAAUAC
rnacentral:rRNA from 1 species